rnacentral:rRNA from 1 species
UACGUAGGGGGCAAGCGUUGUCCGGAUUUACUGGGCGUAAAGGAUGCGUAGGCGGACAUUUAAGUCAGAUGUGAAAUACCCGAGCUUAACUUGGGUGCUGCAUUUGAAACUGGGUGUCUAGAGUGCAGGAGAGGUAAGUGGAAUUCCUCAGUGUAGCGGUGAAAUGCGUAGAGAUUAGGAAGAACACCAGUGGCGAAGGCGACUUACUGGACUGUAACUGACGCUGAGGCAUGAAAGCGUGGGGAGCAAACAGG